rnacentral:lncRNA from 1 species
GUUAAGCCAUGCAUGAAUUCAACCUUCUUCACAUUAUUUGCUCAUGCUCAAAGCACUGCAUUAAUCAGAGAAGGAGGUUUCAAUCUUGGGCUUGUUCUCAGAGACUUUGCUGCAUUGUGUGGCCUUUGAUGAAAAGUUUCAAAGGCAGAGAACAGGAAAUUCACUCUGAUUCUAUUGUUCUCUUUGAACAGUUCUUUUCUUUCAGGAACAAUGCUAGUUUGCCCAAAAUGACUAAUCAUCAUUACCUUUUAUUGAGCAUUAAUUCUGUGCCAGGCACUAGGCGAAGUACUUUCCAUCCAUCUUUAGAUGUCCUUCUCACACUGAUGCUCAGAAGGAGAUUUUAUUAUCCCCUCCUACCAGAAAAACGGAGACUUGGAGAAGUGAAGUAUACUCUCUUGGUCACACAGGGAGAAGAGCGAAGAUAAGAGGAACCAUGGUUUCCAGCCUUGUCUUCCUCUUCCCUGAAGUGGGUGUGGGAGCCUCAGCAGAGUGGGCAAGAGUGAGGAAUCAUUUCUCAUUUCCUAUGACAAUUGUCCAGACCUCUCAAAUGGUAGACCAUCGCCUAAAUCAUUAAAAUUGAAAAAGAAGAACAUUUCCAUUUUCAUUUGGUGUCUUUUGGGUAUCAGUAUUUGUUUUGUCCUCUAAGCUUUGAUUACCUGAUUUUAUAUCAUAAAAAAAAAAAUGCUACCUUAGAAUCAUUGGUUCAAACCAACUGAUCAUUUUGAAGCAUCAACAAACUUCCCAGCUAUGGUCCAGCUUUGGGGCAAUGUGUGUUCUACACAGUUAAUUAGAGCUAUUUAUUUUGAAACUAGCAUUGUAUUUCCAUUGAGGGCUUUGGAUUCAAGUUUGGCCCAGCCCCAAGCCCUUGAUCUAUGAUUCUGAGCAGUUGCAAAACUUCUCUGAUGUUCAGUUCCUUCAUCUGUUGAAUAAGGAUGAUGAGAUCUUCUAUCUCACAGGUUUGUUUUGAUAGUUAAGUAAGACCACGUGUUUUCAUCGAAUUGUUAUGAGGAAUAAUUCAAAUAAAAUAUGUGAAGCAUA